AUAUAAACUAUUUAUCACCAUGCUUACACCAUACGUCAAACACACGCAAACAAAUACCAUUCACAUGCGAUGAACCCUUUAUGUCACUGCAAACGUAUAAUAAGUGAAGAGAAAUGAGAAAUGGUGUAGCUCUGAGGAUCUCACGGAAAGUCUGACACUUUAUGUUAAUGAAAUACGACAAUAGUAUAGCCAUAUCAACAUAUAUGCACAUAUGCGUCUGAAAAGCCCCCGCGGAGUUACUGGUUCCAGCGAUUAUAGAAACCAACAAUUCGGUACCAGAAAACGUUCCACCUUCAUUUUCGCCUCUGCUGGUUGCUACACAUUCGCUCCAUACAGUAGCAACAAGCUACAUCGACCACUGAGAAAACGGAAACAAAGGAAAAAGAUGGUGCCGUUGUGACAACUACAACUAAAGUUACAACACGCACUGUAAGUGGCGCUGGCAGCUCUGCAUCGAAGCCAGCUUCGCCGUUUGCGAAAUUCCAUCAGCUGGACAAACAAAACUCUCAGCAAUCGCCAAAAUCACCGUCAACACCCACCACUCCCGGGGGCACAGCCUCACCUUCCGGUUCCGCACGCAUAUUCCAAUUUACUGAUCCGGCAUUAAAUGCACGCGCCGCCACUGUUAAGGAACAACUUCUGCAGUGGUGCCAAUCGAAAACGCAGGAAUAUGAGGUAUCUCUUUUAAUCAAAAAACGAAAAAAAACGAAAUCUAUUAAAAUUAUUCUAUCAAAGCAACAAUUAAAAUUACAGCGCUUUACUCGUUGUUCUACUACUACUUUUCACUAUCAAAGUUAUGCUGAUCGUGAAGAAGCAUACAUAUUUCUUUAAUAAAGAAAAACCCGCUAACAAAUGUUACUUGCAGAAAGCUUAAAUAAAUAUUUGUGCAUAAAUAUGCAGGGCUUAAGAAAUUCUAUAUUAACAAACGCUUCAGUUUUUCGCUAAAAAUGACCUAACAGUAAAAUAAUGAGCUUGCUAAAAUGAGUUUUAAUUUAGUACACAGGCACCUUCUUUGAUUUAUACUAACCAAAAGAUUUUUACUCUGAUCUGGGGAUGUACAAAUAUAUUUCGAAAGUAAAUACCCAAUAAACACAACGAAUUCGCCGAAUCUCUGACAAAUCGAGAAUAUUAAAUUUUUCUAAUCAUUGGAGAUUCUAUAAUU